GAUGAACGCUGGCGGCGUGCUUAUCACAUGCAAGUCGAACGAUGAAGCCCAGCUUGCUGGGUGGAUUAGUGGCGAACGGGUGAGUAACACGUGAGUAACCUGCCCUUAACUCUGGGAUAAGCCUGGGAAACUGGGUCUAAUACCGGAUAGGAGCGUCCACCGCAUGGUGGGUGUUGGAAAGAUUUAUCGGUUUUGGAUGGACUCGCGGCCUAUCAGCUUGUUGGUGAGGUAAUGGCUCACCAAGGCGACGACGGGUAGCCGGCCUGAGAGGGUGACCGGCCACACUGGGACUGAGACACGGCCCAGACUCCUACGGGAGGCAGCAGUGGGGAAUAUUGCACAAUGGGCGCAAGCCUGAUGCAGCGACGCCGCGUGAGGGAUGACGGCCUUCGGGUUGUAAACCUCUUUCAGUAGGGAAGAAGCGAAAGUGACGGUACCUGCAGAAGAAGCACCGGCUAACUACGUG
rnacentral:rRNA from 1 species